UUAACCGAGAGUUUGAUCCUGGCUCAGGAUGAACGCUGGCGGCGUGCUUAACACAUGCAAGUCGAACGGACUACUUCGGUAGUUAGUGGCGGACGGGUGAGUAACACGUGGGUAACCUGCCCUAUAGAGUGGAAUAACGUUUGGAAACAAACGCUAAUACCACAUAAUCUAAUUAGAUCGCAUGAUUUGAUUAGCAAAGAUUUAUCGCUAUAGGAUGGACCUGCGUUGGAUUAGCUAGUUGGUGAGAUAAAAGCUCACCAAGGCGACGAUCCAUAGCCGGCCUGAGAGGGUGAACGGCCACACUGGGACUGAGACACGGCCCAGACUCCUACGGGAGGCAGCAGUGGGGAAUAUUGCACAAUGGGCGCAAGCCUGAUGCAGCGACGCCGCGUGAAGGAUGAAGGAAUUCGUUUCGUAAACUUCUAUCAGCAGGGAAGAAUAAAAUGACGGUACCUGACUAAGAAGCCCCGGCUAACUACGUGCCAGCAGCCGCGGUAAUACGUAGGGGGCGAGCGUUAUCCGGAAUUACUGGGUGUAAAGGGUGUGUAGGCGGCAUGGUAAGUCAGAUGUGAAAACUUGAGGCUCAACUUCAAGAUUGCAUCUGAAACUGCUAAGCUAGAGUGCAGGAGAGGAAAGUGGAAUUCCAAGUGUAGCGGUGAAAUGCGUAGAGAUUUGGAGGAACACCAGUAGCGAAGGCGACUUUCUGGACUGUAACUGACGCUGAGACACGAAAGCGUGGGGA
rnacentral:ncRNA from 1 species